UACAGAGGUCUCAAGCGUUGUUCGGAUUCAUUGGGCGUAAAGAGCGUGUAGGCGGCUCGAUAAGUCUGCUGUGAAAGUCCAGGGCUCAACCCUGGAAGGCCGGUGGAAACUGUCGGGCUAGAGUCCGGAAGAGGCGAGUGGAAUUCCCGGUGUAGCGGUGAAAUGCGCAGAUAUCGGGAGGAACACCAAUGGCGAAGGCAGCUCGCUGGGACGGUACUGACGCUGAGACGCGAAAGCGUGGGGAGCAAACAGG
rnacentral:rRNA from 1 species